rnacentral:piRNA from 1 species
UGGGCACAAAACCUUGCCUAUGUCUUGAGC